rnacentral:lncRNA from 1 species
ACAUCAGAACUUCCUCGCUGUUUCUGCCCAUUCGCUCUUGCUUCCCUUCCCAGUUCACUCAAUCUCGGAGGUAGUUAGGGUUUUCGCAGUGGGAUGACAAAAACUCGAAAAAGAAUAAGAAACAGAGGAUUAAACUUGAUAGAAACCCUAGAAGAAGAAGGAAACCUAUUCUGGACCGAUUGAUCGGUGUAAGUCAAAGUUGAAUCGGUGGAAAAGGUUUCUAACGAUGAAAAAAAGGUUUUAAUCGGUGGAAUCGAAGGAAAAUGGUGAAAAUGAGAAGAAACCCCAACGAAGAGCUUAGAUCUAUGAAUGAUUCGAUGGAAAAUGAAGGAUAGAGGAAAUGAGAUGAUUUCGUGAGUGAAGAAGA